AGCAGCCGCGGUAAUUCCAGCUCCAAUAGCGUAUAUUAAAGUUGUUGCAGUUAAAAAGCUCGUAGUUGAAUUUCGAGAUCAAAUUGUUGGUCGUGCCUUGGUACGCACUGGCAUUAUUGGUUUCUCCCUUCUGACGAACCAUGAUGUCAUUAAUUUGGUGUCUUGGGGAAUCAGGACUGUUACUUUGAAAAAAUUAGAGUGUUUAAAGCAGGCUCACGCUUGAAUACAUUAGCAUGGAAUAAUGAAAUAGGACGUUUGAUUCUAUUUUGUUGGUUUCUAGGAUCGACGUAAUGAUUAAUAGGGAUAGUUGGGGGCAUUAGUAUUCAAUUGUCAGAGGUGAAAUUCUUGGAUUUAUUGAGGACUAACUACUGCGAAAGCAUUUGCCAAGGAUGUUUUCAUUAAUCAAGAACGAAAGUUAGGGGAUCGAAGACGAUCAGAUACCGUCGUAGUCUUAACCAUAAACUAUGCCGACUAGGGAUCGGAUGAUGUUAAUUUUUUAAUGACUCAUUCGGCGCCUUAC
rnacentral:misc_RNA from 1 species